AGCUCAUCCAACAUGCUGCAUGGGCAUGCAAGCUUACCUGAUAGGCAUCAAGUUGCUCGUCGAAGAUGUCCGCCAUGACUGUAAACCGUAGGCUUAGCGGAUGCAUUAAAAACAUGAGA